rnacentral:rRNA from 1 species
AGUGAACGCUGGCGGUAUGCCUAACACAUGCAAGUCGAACGGCAGCACAGUAAGAGCUUGCUCUUACGGGUGGCGAGUGGCGGACGGGUGCGGAAUACAUCGGAAUCUACUUUUUCGUGGGGGAUAACGUAUGGAAACUUACGCUAAUACCGCAUACGACCUACGGGUGACAGCAGGGGAUCUUCGGACCUUGCGCGAUUGAAUGAGCCGAUGUCGGAUUAGCUAGUUGGCGGGGUAAAGGCCCACCAAGGCGACGAUCCGUAGCUGGUCUGAGAGGAUGAUCAGCCACACUGGAACUGAGACACGGUCCAGACUCCUACGGGAGGCAGCAGUGGGGAAUAUUGGACAAUGGGCGCAAGCCUGAUCCAGCCAUACCGCGUGGGUGAAGAAGGCCUUCGGGUUGUAAAGCCCUUUUGUUGGGAAAGAAAAGCAGCAGGUUAAUACCCCGCUGUUCUGACGGUACCCAAAGAAUAAGCACCGGCUAACUUCGUG